GACGAACGCUGGCGGCGUGCUUAACACAUGCAAGUCGAACGGUGACGCGCCUUCCUUUUUGGCGGGCGUGGGUGAGUGGCGAACGGGUGAGUAACACGUGCGUAACCUGCCCCCUUCUUCUGGAUAACCGCAUGAAAGUUUGGCUAAUACGGGAUAUUCUGUGUGUGUCGCAUGAUGGGUCUUUGGGAGAUAUUGUUUCGGUGGGGGCUGGGCUCGCGGCCUCUCAGCGGGUUGGUGGGGUGAUGGCCUACCAAGGCUGUGACGGGUGGCCGGGCUGAGAGGGAGGACGGUGACACUGGGACUGAGACACGGCCCAGACUCGUACGGGAGGGAGCAGUGGGGUAGAUUGCACAAUGGGCGCAAGCCUGAUGCAGCGACGCCGCGUGAGGGAGGGAGGCCUUCGGGUUGUGAACCUCUUUCGCCAGUGAAGCAGGCCUGCCUCGUUUGUGGGUGGGUUGACGGUAGAUGGAUAAGAAGCGCCGGCUAACUACG
rnacentral:rRNA from 1 species